rnacentral:tRNA from 1 species
UCUCUGGAGGACUAGUGGUUAGGCCACAGCGCUCUCACCACUGUAGCCCAGGUUUGAUUCCCGGCCAAGGAA